rnacentral:lncRNA from 1 species
CUUUAUUUGUUUGUUUUGUUUUUUGUUCUGCCCACCUCUGCAGGUGACAGAGGAGACCCAAGAGUAAGAGUCCAAUUUUCUCACUUUGCUGAAGAGAUCUGUGAGAGGAGGCUUGACAUUACAUGUGGUCCUGAAGGGCUUGUCUCUAGAAAUCAGGAGAUGGAUUCAAAGUGAGUUCUCCACUCUGCCUCUGCACGUUGCUGUGCACAUAACAGAAAAAUAUGAGCUCCCUCUUGUGGUCCAAAAAACCUUCUCCUUUCCCCAUCUGAACCAAGAGGACCCAACAAAGCAGCUAAAUUAUUUCAGCUUUCUCAGAUAUUUUUACCUGACCAGCAGAAAAAAUUUUGUGGCAGUGGAAGACCUACAAAGGGAGCCUGUGUUUAUAUAUAUUCACCAGUGGAAAAAUUAGGGUCUCUAGUAAACAAACUGAAUGUACUUGUGAAGGGGACCUUUGGGAAGCUGUCACCUACUGCAAGAAUGGACCUGAGGAAGAAGGAGACAAACUACAGCCACUCUAAAUACAAGGAACAGGGAGGCUUGAAAUUCAGAGUAAGAUUUCUGUAUGAAUAAAUUAUGAUUAUAGGGUGAUUUUAUUGCUUCACAGCAGGCAGACUACUUCUGCUUCCUUUUGGGGGGGCAAAAGUUGGAUUCUACCAGGUUCUACAGUUUAGAGCUUGGUAAUAACUGUAAGUCUGGGCAUGAGUUUUCACUGCUAUUCUAUUUUAAAUUUAACAAAGCCUUGCCAGCUUUUGUGUUGUUAUCCUAAAUUGAAUUGUAAUGUCAAUAGUCUGCAAAAACCCCACCCUAAAAGUAGCUGUUUGAAG